AUACAAAUCGGUACUUUGUCAGGGAGAAGCAUAAACAUGUUUCUACAAUUUCUCAUUCGCUUUCCAGAGCUCAUACAGUAAACAUCCAUAAAAAUAUUUUUUUUUGCAGUUUUACAAAAUUUUUCGGGGCAUGUUGUCUAGCAAUAUCAUUGAUCGGUUACUGCACAUAACUCAGCCUAAUGAGACGCAACAUUCCACAUGAGGUAAGCGGCAACUGAUGCGCCCAAUCCGGAGCACGCCUGGAACGUUCGAUCGCAUCAAACAACAGCAUCGAGGCUAAUCGGUGUAAUACACACCUCCUAUUUCCGUGAAGAAGUGCGCAGCAAGCGCCCACAGCCCCAAUCACAUCUAUCAACAUGUGUUAUCCAUGCUGCAACUCGUGCUGCAGCCCUUGCUGCAGCCCCUGCUGCUCACCAUGCUGCUACACCACCUGCUGCUAUACUUGCUGCACCCCAUGCUGCUCGCCAUGCUGCGGCCCAUGCGGCGGUUGCGGUGGCUGCGGUGGAUGCUGCUAACCUCUCUUCAGAAGGAAGUUCAGGAGCCAACUGUGUCGCACCAUAUAGCAACCACUCCAACCUCAAGAUGAUGCCACAACAUUCCAGGCGGGUAGACAACGCAACAACCCGGCAGAUGCCAUCUUCAGCCAUAAGAAACUACUGUAAAUAGUCUGGAACUGGAAUGUCAGUAUGAAAUAGAAAACAGAGCGAAUAAAAUAAACAAUUGCAAAACCAAA